rnacentral:rRNA from 1 species
UACGUAGGGGGCAAGCGUUGUCCGGAUUUAUUGGGCGUAAAGCGCGUGUAGGCGGCCAGAUAGGUCUGCUGUGAAAACUCGAGGCUCAACCUCGAGCUGUCGGCGGAAACCAUCUGGCUAGAGUCCGGAAGAGGAGAGUGGAAUUCCUGGUGUAGCGGUGAAAUACGUAGAGAUUGGGAAGAACACCAGUGGCGAAGGCGGCUAUCUGGACGGUUUCUGACGCUAAGACGCGAAAGCGUGGGGAGCAAACAGG